AACGAACGCUGGCGACGUGCUUAACACAUGCAAGUCGUACGAGAACCACGUCCUUCGGGGCGUGUAGUAAAGUGGCGCACGGGUGAGUAACACGUGGGUAACCUACCCUGUGGACUGGGAUAACUGGCCGAAAGGCCCGCUAAUACCGGAUAUGACCACAUGGGCUCCGGCCCAAAGGGUAAAAGUCGGCCUCUCGAAGAAGCCGGCACCAGAGGAGGGGCCCGCGGACCAUGAGCUAGUUGGUAGGGUAAUGGCCUACCAAGGCCGAGAUGGUUAGCUGGUCUGAGAGGAUGACCAGCCACACUGGAACUGAGAUACGGUCCAGACUCCUACGGGAGGCAGCAGUGAGGAAUAUUGCGCAAUGGGGGAAACCCUGACGCAGCAACGCCGCGUGGGUGAAGAAGGCUUUCGGGUUGUAAAGCCCUGUCAGGUGGGAAGAAACCUUCUCAGGUGAAUAGUCUGGGAAACUGACGGUACCACCAAAGGAAGCACCGGCUAACUCCGUGCCAGCAGCCGCCGCCGUAA
rnacentral:rRNA from 1 species